rnacentral:rRNA from 1 species
ACGUAGGGGACGAGCGUUGUCCGGAUUCAUUGGGCGUAAAGCGCGCGCAGGCGGCCGCGUAAGUCGGGUGUGAAACCCCGGGGCUCAACCCCGGGCCUGCAUCCGAUACUGCACGGCUAGAGGUAGGUAGGGGAGAUCGGAAUUCCUGGUGUAGCGGUGAAAUGCGCAGAUAUCAGGAGGAACACCGGUGGCGAAGGCGGAUCUCUGGGCCUUACCUGACGCUCAGGCGCGAAAGCUAGGGGAGCGAACAGGA